UUGAGYUUGAUCAUGGCUCAGAUUGAACGCUGGCGGCAGGCCUAACACAUGCAAGUCGAGCGGAAACGAUGGAAGCUUGCUUCCAGGCGUCGAGCGGCGGACGGGUGAGUAAUGCAUGGGAAUCUGCCCGAUAGUGGGGGAUAACCUGGGGAAACCCAGGCUAAUACCGCAUACGUCCUACGGGAGAAAGCAGGGGAUCUUCGGACCUUGCGCUAUCGGAUGAGCCCAUGUCGGAUUAGCUUGUUGGUGAGGUAAUGGCUCACCAAGGCGACGAUCCGUAGCUGGUCUGAGAGGAUGAUCAGCCACAUCGGGACUGAGACACGGCCCGAACUCCUACGGGAGGCAGCAGUGGGGAAUAUUGGACAAUGGGCGAAAGCCUGAUCCAGCCAUGCCGCGUGUGUGAAGAAGGCCCUCGGGUUGUAAAGCACUUUCAGUGGGGAAGAAAGCCUUGGGAUUAAUACUACCCG
rnacentral:rRNA from 2 species